GCAGCUCCACACCGGGUGGGAGUGGCAAAACUGCUGGGUUCGCUGGGUUACCAUGUGCUGGUGCCUGACUACAGAGGUUUUGGAGACUCCACCGGAGAACCCACUGAAUCCGGCCUGACCACAGACGCCCUGCACGUCUACAACUGGGUGAAAGCGCGCAGCGGGGACAGCCUGGUGGUCAUCUGGGGACACUCUCUGGGCACCGGGUCAGCUGGAAAACACCAACCAUCAGUCGCUGUUGGCGCUGUGGCCUCCACCAUU